rnacentral:snRNA from 1 species
AUUCAGUGGGACCGUGGCCUUAAUCUUUCGCCUUUUACUAAAGAUUACCGUGGGGAGGGGCACUCCAAUGAGCCUAUAGGCCAAUUUUUGGAAGGCCACUACCGUUUGGUAG